rnacentral:rRNA from 1 species
GACGGAGGGUGCAAGCGUUGUUCGGAAUUACUGGGCGUAAAGGGCGCGUAGGCGGUCUGUUAAGUUCGGUGUGAAAGCCCCCGGCUCACCUGGGGAACUGCGCCGGAAACCGACAGACUCGAGUACCGGAGAGGAGGGUGGAAUUCCUGGUGUAGCGGUGAAAUGCGUAGAGAUCAUGAGGAAGACCAGUGGCGAAGGCGGGUCUCUGGACAGUUCCUGACGCUGAGGCACGAAGGUCAGGGGGAGCAAACGGGG